rnacentral:sRNA from 1 species
GCUGGGCACGGUGGCCCACGCCUGUCAUCCCAGCCUCUCAGGAGGCUGAGGCAGGAGGAUGGCGAGUUCAAAGGCAGCCUCAGCCACAGUGAAGUGCUAAGCAACUCAGUGAGACCCUGUCUCUA